rnacentral:rRNA from 1 species
CCCUUAGAUGUUCUGGGCCGCACGCGUGCUACACUGACCGGCGCAACAAGCUUUUUUCCUUGGCUCGACAGGCCUGGGUAAUCUUCGAACGCCGGUCGUGAUGGGGAUAGAUCCUUGCAAUUUUUGAUCUUCAACGAGGAAUUCCUAGUAAACGCAAGUCAUCAGCUUGCAUUGAUUACGUCCCUGCCCUUUGUACACACCGCCCGUCGCACCUACCGAUUGAAUGGUCCGGUGAAAUCUUCGGAUCUGAGAGAUGUCUGAUUAAUUUCGGACGCCUUUUGGAAAAGUUGUUUAAACCUUACCAUUUAGAGGAAGGUGAAGUCGUAACA